AGCAGUAGCCGCGGUAAUACAGAGGGUGCGAGCGUUAAUCGGAUUUACUGGGCGUAAAGCGUGCGUAGGCGGCUUCUUAAGUCGGAUGUGAAAUCCCUGAGCUUAACUUAGGAAUUGCAUUCGAUACUGGGAAGCUAGAGUAUGGGAGAGGAUGGUAGAAUUCCAGGUGUAGCGGUGAAAUGCGUAGAGAUCUGGAGGAAUACCGAUGGCGAAGGCAGCCAUCUGGCCUAAUACUGACGCUGAGGUACGAAAGCAUGGGGAGCAAACAGGAUUAGAUACCCCAGUAGUCCCUGUCUCUUAUAU
rnacentral:rRNA from 1 species